rnacentral:rRNA from 1 species
GACGAACGCUGGCGGCGUGCUUAACACAUGCAAGUCGAACGGAAAGGCCUCUUCGGAGGUACUCGAGUGGCGAACGGGUGAGUAACACGUGGGCAAUCUGCCCUGCACUUCGGGAUAAGCCUGGGAAACUGGGUCUAAUACCGGAUAGGACCUCAAGACGCAUGUCUUCUGGUGGAAAGCUUUUGCGGUGUGGGAUGGGCCCGCGGCCUAUCAGCUUGUUGGUGGGGUGACGGCCUACCAAGGCGACGACGGGUAGCCGGCCUGAGAGGGUGUCAGGCCACAAUGGGACUGAGAUACGGCCCAGACUCCUACGGGGGGCAGCAGUGGGGAAUAUUGCACAAUGGGGGCGAGCCUGAUGCAGCGACGCCGCGUGGGGGAUGACGGCCUUCGGGUUGUAGACCUCUUUCACCAUCGACGAAGGUCCGGGUUUUCUCGGAUUGACGGUAGGUGGAGAAGAAGCACCGGCCAACUACGUGCCAGCAGCCGCCGUAA